GACAGAGGGUGCUAGCGUUGUUCGGAUUUACUGGGCGUAAAGGGCGCGUAGGCGGCGCAACAAGUCAGUUGUGAAAUCUCCGGGCUUAACCCGGAGCGGCCAAGUGAUACUGUCGUGCUAGAGUGCGGAAGGGGCUACUGGAAUUCUCGGUGUAGCGGUGAAAUGCGUAGAUAUCGAGAGGAACACCUGCGGCGAAGGCGGGUAGCUGGGCCGACACUGACGCUGAGGCGCGAAAGCCAGGGGAGCGAACGGG
rnacentral:rRNA from 1 species